UGGGGGUUGUAGGACCAUAACGUGAGACUAAAGAAGAUAGAUGAAAUACUUGGAAAAGUGUAGCAUAGAAGGUGAAACUCCUGUAAUUUAAAUUUUCAAUAGCUCUAUUGGUAUCCUGAGUAGGUCGGAACACGUGAUAUUUUGACUGAAACUGGGGGGACCACCCUCCAAUCCUAAAUACUACUUACAGAUCGAUAGUGAACAAGUACCGUGAGGGAAAGGUGAAAAGUACUCCAGCGAGGAGAGUGAAAUAGAACCUGAAACCAUUAGCUUACAAUCAUUCAGAGCCCUAUGAUUUAUCAGGGUGAUGGACUGCCUUUUGCAUAAUGAGCCUGCGAGUUGUGGUGUCUGGCAAGGUUAAGUCAAGUACGAAGCCGUAGCGAAAGCGAGUCUUAAUAGGGCGAAUUAGUCAGAUGCUGC
rnacentral:rRNA from 1 species